AGCGAACGCUGGCGGCAGGCCUAACACAUGCAAGUCGAACGAACUCUUCGGAGUUAGUGGCGGACGGGUGAGUAACACGUGGGAACGUGCCUUUAGGUUCGGAAUAACUCAGGGAAACUUGUGCUAAUACCGAAUGUGCCCUUCGGGGGAAAGAUUUAUCGCCUUUAGAGCGGCCCGCGUCUGAUUAGCUAGUUGGUGAGGUAAAGGCUCACCAAGGCGACGAUCAGUAGCUGGUCUGAGAGGACGAUCAGCCACAUUGGGACUGAGACACGGCCCAAACUCCUACGGGAGACAGCAGUGGGGAAUCUUGCGCAAUGGGCGAAAGCUUGACGCAGCCAUGCCGCGUGAAUGAUGAAGGUCUUAGGAUUGUAAAAUUCUUUCACCGGGGACGAUAAUGACGGUACCCGGAGAAGAAGCCCCGGCUAACUUCGUGCCAGCCGCCGCCGUAA
rnacentral:rRNA from 1 species